GGCUGGUCCAAGUGCAGUGGUGUUUGCGGCUAGUUGAUGACAAACAGUUACAGAUUUCUUUGUUCCUUCUCCACUCCCACUGUUUCACUUGACUAGUUAAAA
rnacentral:Y_RNA from 1 species